GGGAACUUCAAGUGAGAGGUGUGUCUUAUUGUGAGAGAUGAGAGGAUAAAAUCCUGACCAUCUGAUCAAAAUUAAUGGUUGUGAUUAAAACAUGUCAAAUGCACCUUCCCCUAUUCUGCUUCCUCCCAAUUCCCAGUUCAAUCACCUUCGUCUCGCAUCACUUAUUCAUAGCUCACAACAGAGAUUAAAGAUUUCUUGAUCCCCUCCACCAACGCUUCUCCCAAUUCCACCACCAAUUUGUCAAGAUUCAAGAGCAGUUUGAUGAUUUAUCCAAUAUUAUUCACCAUCACAAAGGGAUUCAACAACCCUUUUC
rnacentral:lncRNA from 1 species